AUCCCGCCUGCAUCUCCAGCUGCGCACCUAGAGAAUCAUUAAAGCCAGUGCCAUGUGGCUGUGUUGCGGGUAAAUGAGAUAAUGCAAACCUCAUAACAAGUGCUCGUUCACCUCGCUUCUCCUCCCUCCCAGGUAUGGGGAGGCACCGUCUUACCAGGGGGAGCCCCGUGCCACCAUCACAUGUUGCGGUGGCCACGCGACAACAUGGAGGACAACUCAGCCAUGCUGAGACAACACAUACAUAUACAGAAAAUGACUAGAAAGAACAACAUCAAAAUGAGUACCUUAGUUGAAUUUGGGUAGAGAAAUUAUAGGUGGUUAUUUUUCUGUUUUUGUAUUUUCCGAGUAUCCUAUUAUAUGGUUAUGUUACUUUUAGAAAUGUAAUAUUUCAUGGCAAACAAGUAUUUUACUUUAAAAUUGCAUUGAACAAAAAGUGUUAAACUUCAAAACCUAAACAGCAUCUUUAUAGAUUCUCUAUCAAAUGGAGUUAAUUUUAAAAUUCUAGAAUAUAUUCUGAAGCACUAGGUUCUUCUUAAUUCUAACACUUAACCUGGGAGAAGUAAUUUACUCUGAGAGCUGCAUUCUUCACCUAUGAAGUGGGGCUAGUUUUAACUCACAGUUGUGAGGAUGAAAUGAGAUAAUAUGUAAGUACCAUGGAGAUGGAUCAUGUUUUGAAAACUUCAAAGUUUGCAAAGAUAUAAAUAUAAACCCCUUAAAUACCAGAAGAAAAAAUUUUAAAUGUUUAGUAGCUUGAACUCCAACAUUAGAUAGACCUAUAUUCAAAUUUUAGCUCUGCCACCGACAACCUGGAUGACUUUGGGCAACUACUUCACCUUCUCACUACAGUACCUUCUCAGCAGUGUGGGGGUAAUGACCACAUGCCUGUGUUGCUGUGAAAAUUAAAUGAGAUAAGUAACUUAUGUAUAGCACAGUGCUUGUCACAAAAUAAUGGCUCAUUUAAUGUUACCAAUUAUUAUAAUCCUCCUUAAAACCACUUCUGCAGUUAAUGAAACUGAAUAUUAUUAUUAACAUCUCAAUCACUGUUUCACAUUAAGAUACAAAAAUAGAAAAGACAUUCCCUACCCUUAAGGUUCUCACAGUCAAUAAAAGAAAUGGAAAUAUAUUUCAAAGAUCAUAGGAGACUACAAUAACUAAUAAAAUCAAAUUUUAUAUCUAUUACUAUGAGAAUAAAGACAAAGGGGAACAGGAUUGGUUACAAUGAGGAAUGUAUCAAAAUCUCAAAGGAGAUGAUAUUUUAGUUGGAUCCUGAAAGACUGGGUAUGAUUUUGUCCAUUAAUGAAGGAAAAAUACAAAAUUAAAAAUCCAAGCCAGGCAUGAUGGCACAUGCUUGUAAUCCCAGCUACUCAGGAGGGUAAGGUGGGAGGAUCAUUUGAAUCCAAGAGUUCGAGUCCAGGCUGGGCAACCUAGCGAGAUCCCAUCUCUUAAAAAAAAAAUCUAUACAGUGCUCAGGCCAUUGAGACUUGUCUCAUCAGAUGGAACACUGAGAGGGGAAAGGCUGGCUGUAAAAAGAAGAAAUAUUAUGAUCUAAUUGUGAAGAGCUUUAUAAAAAUGCCCUGCCCCAUUAUUUGGACUUUAUGCACAAUAGGGAAAUCAAAAGAGGAUUAAAGAACACAAUCAGACCUAAAAUUUAGAAAAAUAACUGGUAAAAUUAGGUUGACUUAACAGUGCCAGGAAAGACUUCCCAGGGAUGACAUUUGGAAGAAGAGUCUGGGAAGGUCAUCCCAGGUGGCGUGUGGGAGACACAGACCUGAGGACCUGCCAAGCGCAUCUCCGGCUUCUGGAGCAUAGCAGAGUGGGGGCAGCGGAGGUGAUGUGGAAGACACGGGCCAAGACAGCGACACCUUUGCCCAGGAAUGUGGGCUUCAAGGGCAAGAGAGAAAGGCCUGCGAUGGUAGAGCGAUCUGAGAAGAUGACGUUGUGGAAAAACAGGGGCUGGAGGAACAGGCAGGAAAUCACAAGAGUGAAAACUCAGCCCAGAAGAGGGAAGAGCAGAUGGACUCAAGAGACAUUUGAGGGGACCAUUCAGUCUAGCCUGGGAGGGAAAAAAAAUGAAACUGCAAAGAAAUGUCAAGCACAUGACCGCAGCUAGACAAUCCAAGGCAAGAUGAAUGUCAGAAGAUUUUGGCUUCCUGGAAAAAACUCACCAUGGACUUUGGUUAUUCAGAAUUAGCUACUUCUUCUGUAAGGCUAUCAGGAACUAUGGACCUCACAACAUGAAGGAAAAUAAGCCUUGGCAUCAUUUAAGGCUAUACCGAUGAAGCAAGGAGAGAAAGGAACACUUAACGACAAGCCGCGAUACAAAAGGAGAAGGUGUGUGCAAUCCUGUUUAACAACCUUCGCAUCUUUUGUCACAGUUUAACUUGCGCACACACGUACACACAUAAGUGUUGCGAUAAUCCAACAGACGUCUGCACCCGGCACUGUGGGGUUAAUUCUCUGACUCCCACACAGCAGGUGGUCACAAUCUAACAGCAAUAUUUACUAGGAGAGUCUGACAGCUUCCUAGGGAACAUCCCUAGAGCUUCUAGAAGGAUGCUACACGUGAGAUCUAGAAAGAUGCUACACGUGAGAAAAACGAAUAGUCUGAAAAACUGAAAUGUUUCAGUCAAGCUUACAUGAUUUUAUAAUUUUUAAAAACAAAUCCAAAGAACAGUAUUUUAUUUCAGCGGUCUUCUAUGAGCAAUUUGAUAUACAAAAACUGUUUUCUUAAAAGUCUCAACCAUAAGAAAAUACUUUUUAUUCUUUGAGAUUUCUUUAAAUGUUUUUAUUAUCAACAUCACCUCUCUGUAAUUUGUAUUUAGCUACCACACCUCAAAUUAUUUGCUUUAAUUAAAACUAUAAUAAUUAAAA